CCUACGGGAGGCAGCAGUAGGGAAUUUUCCACAAUGGGCGAAAGCCUGAUGGAGCAACGCCGCGUGGGUGAAGAAGGUCUUCGGAUCGUAAAACCCUGUUGUUAGAGAAGAAAGUGCGUGAGAGUAACUGUUCACGUUUCGACGGUAUCUAACCAGAAAGCCACGGCUAACUACGUGCCAGCAGCCGCGGUAAUACGUAGGUGGCAAGCGUUAUCCGGAUUUAUUGGGCGUAAAGGGAACGCAGGCGGUCUUUUAAGUCUGAUGUGAAAGGCUUCGGCUUAACCGGAGUAGUGCAUUGGAAACGGGGAGACUUGAGUGCAGAAGAGGAGAGUGGAACUCGAUGUGUAGCGGUGAAAUGCGUAGAUAUAUGGAAGAACACCAGUGGCGAAAGCGGCUCUCUGGUCUGUAACUGACGCUGAGGUUCGAAAGCGUGGGUAGCAAACAGGAUUAGAUACCCCGGUAGUC
rnacentral:rRNA from 1 species